rnacentral:rRNA from 1 species
UACGAAGGGGGCUAGCGUUGCUCGGAAUCACUGGGCGUAAAGCGCACGUAGGCGGCUUUCUAAGUCAGGGGUGAAAUCCUGGAGCUCAACUCCAGAACUGCCUUUGAUACUGGAGAGCUCGAGUCCGGAAGAGGUGAGUGGAACUCCGAGUGUAAAGGUGAAAUUCGUAGAUAUUCGGAAGAACACCAGUGGCGAAGGCGGCUCACUGGUCCGGUACUGACGCUGAGGUGCGAAAGCGUGGGGAGCAAACAGG